AACAUACAUCUGCCUGGCAGGGGAUGGGAACAGGAGGAGCUGCAUCCUGUGGAGGGCAGAGCCUGAGAUGGGUCCUGACCGACGGCCACGCUGCAGCAUGGGCACGCAGACUGGAGGGCAGAGCCUGAGAUGGGUCCUGACCGACGGCCACGCUGCAGCAUGGGCACGCAGACUGGAGGGCAGAGCCUGAGAUGGGUCCUGACCGACGGCCAGGCUGCAGCAUGGGCACGCAGACCGGAGGGCAGAGCCUGAGAUGGGUCCUGACCGACGGUCAGGCUGCAGCAUGGGCAGACCAGAGGAGGGAGGUCGCCGUAGAGGAAGAGCCUGACAAGUGGGGGGCCCGAUGCUGGAAAGCUUCGCAUUUGAAGCUUCUCUUCAUAAAAUGCUUGAAAACAGACAAGUCUGGCUGGGACUAGGGGUUAAAAGUAGGCUAGUGCUGGCCAAAAAAAAAAAGAAAGCUGACUCUGGCUGUUUUGUUGAAGGUUUUGAAUGUCAAGGUACAGAUCUAUAUACUUCAUCUGUACUUUUAAUUCAGUAGGCGACCAGAAGUUUCUGAGCAUUGUGAAGUAAAGAAACAUUACUAGAAGAGCACAAAGGGAAGCUGUUCGUGGCAGCAGCAUGUAAAACCCAACAGAGCUGUGAGGAACAAAGGAAGUCAGAAUUCCGAGUACAGAACCUGAGAGCCUGACCUGGGGUGAUGGCACUGGGAACGGAAAGGAGGGAAGAGCUGAAGAGUCAGGGUGGCAGGGAAAGGAUGGAGAUGUAAGCACGAGGGAAGAAGGGUCAGCCAUCCUCAACUCUCGAGUGAAAGGGAAAACGGUGGCCAUUAGCGCAAAACAUUCAAGGAUGCGCUGACCGGAAGGGAAGAUGAAACCUGAAAUGGAGAAAUGGCGUUGAGACGGUGAAAUUCAGGAGACAGGCUGGCACUAGACCUGUAUGUUUGGAUCAAAAGGCGUACAAGUUCCAAUCAAGCCUACUGCCACUUCCACAGUCUACAGGAGGGAUCUGAGAAGACAGAAAGGACAUACUUCAGGUCUUAUUUACACCAAAGGCCUAGAGCCUGUGAUGAAAGAGAGGCUGAGAUAAUAAACUGCUGUGGACACUGAGACAAACUGUUCUGAACAGUAAAGAAAAGACUUCCUUGAACAGAAAGGCUGUUAACAAUGUUAAGAGAUUUUUUUUUUACUUUUGGUGGGGAUGGGAGGGUUGAUGGCUGAAGACAAAAAGUUGAGAGCCUUGGAAGAACAGGAGACAGAGCGAGUACUCCGAUCUGAAAGGGCGCAGGCCUCCGCAGCAAGGUUAGACUGGUCUCAGCGAUACUAUGAAGAAUUAAAA